UGUGAACUGACAAGCCCAUGGAUGUCUACAAAGAGUGAACUGAUCACUGUGGGCUGGCCUUUGAGGCAUCAGUGAGGUGAUUAUUAAGAUAGUCAAGUUAAAGUUACAAGCGGUAAUACAAAGAGACAGGAUUAUAUGAUCUCCAAGGUCCCAUCCAGCCCAUUUAACACGGCAUUGUGGCUCUGGAGACCUGGAAGCACUGCUAACUGUUCUCUCGAUUUUCUGACGCUCGGCCACAUCAACCUGUCAUACUAGUUGUGAGGAGAAGUCAAGGACAGUGACACAGCCAGCCAGUCUGAGGCAUUUUCCAUCAUCCUGAAGGAGUUGCCCUAUCCUGCUUUUCACUGGAGGGGGCAUGGAUGGGGAUCCUGGAUGACAAAGCAGUCACCUACUUGAACACUGCUAAUUAUGAAGUCAGAAAGAGGAAAGUUUGCAGAGUUUUGUAUUGGCAAUCAAACAUUCAGCCACAGGUCACAGUCUAGAACCAGACACAUCAGUGUCCUCAACUGCAAAGUAGCCAGGAAGCAGCAUCCCAUAACACAGUCCUAUGUCCACUGUUUUGGAGUUACUCAAGACCUAAGUGUUUUCUUGGAACUGUGUUUGUUACUGAGGAAGCCACAAAUUAAAUAUAAGUCUGCUCUUCAAGAGGUUACAUUCCAGUUAAGGAGAUUGCAUAUCCAUAUUUCCAG
rnacentral:lncRNA from 10 species